CUCAGGGCUACUCUUCCACAAAAAAUUAAUUAAUUGAAAAAAAAAAAAAAAGCUGGCCCAAAGUUAUUUCACUACAAUGCUCUCCUAUAUUUCCUGGUCUCAGAUACAGCUCAGUUCAUUGUUCUAGAUUCUUCACUGAAUAUCUAGAACUGGUAAUGGGAGUGACAAAGAGAGAUCUGAAUGCCUAAGUGUCUCAUGCUCUAUGCAUUUUAGAAACCUGGCCUCUGCGUCUACUUUUAGACAAUGUCCCUUUAGGGUACCACCCACUGUCCUGCACGUAAUGCCAGCUCCAAUGAGGCCCUGAGGUGGGGACACUGAGUCCCUGGAAGCCGCAUCCAGAUUAGCACAGGCCUGCUCAUCUGGGGCUGAGGAGACACAUGACUCCAGGCCAGUCCAGAUCAGCCACCUGUGACCCUGGUUGUCAUUUAGUUUCUGUCAUCUGGGCUCUUGCUCCUCAGUUUUAACAAUUCCUGCUCACUUGGAGAAGCCCAGGGUUAAGGAAUGUCCCAGGUUGGGUUCCCUAGAACACCCAGGAGGAAGACCCAUGAAGAUUCAUUAAGACAACGCUCCCAGAAGAAAGAGGCAGUGGAGUUGGGGAAGCUGGGAGGGGAAGGCAAAGAAAUCCAGAAAGUGUGCGAUUUCAGGCAAAGUGCUGUGUAUUCAGUGGCUUACAUGAUGCUUUUGUGUUGAGGAAGAACUUGGGGCCAGGCUUCCCCAUGGCUAAGAGGAAAGGUGAAAUGGAAUAUCAGAACAGGAGCAGUUGGAAUACAGCAGAGCUCAGAGAGAGAACAGGAGAUGGAGACGGAAGGGCCUGGCAGGGUGGCAGCACCCAUGGAAAACAGAAAGGCCAGACAGAGGUCACAUCAGCUGUUGAAGUGAACAAAUGAGGAAGAGAAAAAUUAGUGUGAAAAUGAGCUAGAAUCUUAGCUAGAGAGCGAUAAGGAAUAAGUGCAUCUAAGAGCAUCAAUGUGAUUACCUCAGCACCCUAAGCUGAAGGCCGGGGAAACUGCAUGUUAGUCUCCACUUGCUGAAUAGCAGCUUUCCUUUGACAAUCUUCUGUUUCAGGGCACUUAAGGCAUUAAUGUGGCCAAUGACUUGAUACCCAUGCUUGCUGGCAGCCAAGCCAUCAAGAGCAUCACCCUCCAGCUUGGCAGGGUUCUUCAUUCUGAGAGAAACAUCCAAACCCAAACUCUGAAAAUAAAACCACAGCCAACAGGACCCAUUGUCAUUCAUGAUCUUCCUGUGACUUACUCCUCUACCCAUGGGAGACAUCGAAUAAGCAAAGUGACCAGAACAAGAAAGGUCCUGAAAGUCCAUGGGUGAGGUGAAGCCAACGGAGUCACUUUGAUAGUUUCUUUUUUGUUGAUCUUUCUCACACUACCCAGUAAUGAUAUGAUUGCCAGGAGGUGUGGGAGAGGCCCAUCGCUUCCCCGCUGUCACCCUCUGACGACUAACAAUGGACCAGAGCUUCGUAUUCCCCUUUUCUCUCUCACCUUGGAAGAGCAGCCACUGGUUUCCAGAAUCGUUGUUGGCUGCAAUGCUCCAGAUGGUGGAGGAAAGGCCGAGCCUGGCUUAGCUGUCACCACAAUCCAACUGGUCCAGCUGAAGUGGCAGAUCAUUGGUAACCCAGGUGCUUGGCCACAGCUGUGCUUGUGAAGCUUGCACCUCUGACAUUUGGAAACUCAAAGGCCUCCUGGCUGGGAGCUGAAAGGAGAAGAGAGCUCAGUAGGACCACUCCAAGUUUUCCUUUACUAAGCCCUCUCAGAGCACCCAUUUCUGAUGUCCAUGCCUCUCAGUGAAACAACCCAAAGACCCAGACGACAAAGGCAGACAUCACGUCUAUGAGGGAGAUGUCACCUUUAUGUGUGUGCCUGGGGAUGCUGAGAUGGCAGGUGCCAGGAUGCAGUGUCCCUGAAGUGAAAAAUCACUCACUUGAGUCCACAUGGCUUUGGAUGGGCAGAUGAGAUCAUACUUAUUAAUCUAUUUUUAUUAACUUAGUCGUAUAGCCUAGAGAGAAGGUUCUAGAGAGGCCUUAGGACAUGGAGGAGAAAGAGUUGUUGAUGUGUACCCAGAAGAAUAAAAGAACAGGGAAAGAAGUAUGGCCUCAAGUCUUUAGGUUCCAGUAGAAAAGGGAGUUGAGAAACUGUAGAACAUGGACCAAGUUAUGAGAAUUUUUGCAAAGUUCUGUGGCCUUUUGACCAGCCUUGUGUGUAAUUUUUGACUGCCCUCCAUCCACCCACACAUAUAUAUUCUAUUGUCACACAAGGGUACCAGCAGCUACAGGAAAUGGAGUAGAGCUCUGAGACCCUUAUUGGAAACCUAGGGGCCAGAAGUGUUACAGAAUCAGACUUUGUGGUUCUUCAAGGAGGUAACAGAAUGCAUAAUCCUUACAUCACACACCCCUCAGUGGGGUCUGAGCAGCUCUCCCUAACCAAACACAUAUACAUUUCUGCUGUGAAAUGAACACAUACUCUCAGAAAGUUGGCUAACAAAGAUUUCAAAUAGCCUCAGGCCAGUCCAGGUCAGACUCAGGCGGGCUCCUGGCCCACAGGGCCUGCUCCACACUGCGAUGGGCUCCCCUCUAUACAUCCUCAUUCUCACCAAGAGAUGGUCAGACAGAAAUUCAAGUUGCAUUCCAUUGAAGGCUGAGGGUCCUACGAAACUGCUGCCAGCCUCAGUCCACCGACAUGUUGAACAGACAGGAUCGAGAGCAGUUUAUAUGGAACAUUGCUUGAUAGAUCUCUCUGAUGCCAUUGACCUGUGGCUGUACUCCUCUAACAGAACAUGGCUAACAGCAUCCUGUUCUGGCCACUGGCUGUUAAUUUGAGACACGUUGCUUAAUGAAAAUACAAGGACAACAUCUGCCAACCUUUUCACUGCUUGGACACACACGGUUGCUGGCAUACAAAAUCGCUCCAACUGCUGGGUAUGCAGCGAGCUGCCUCUCUCUUCAACCAUGGCGUUACCACGGUGUCUCCAAGCUGCCAAUGCCUCUGACUGGAGAGCCCUGCGAGAGUGGAGGAUUGUUGCGGACUUUCCCAUUUCUACGCCCCUCCACCUGAUGAUGUGUUUUUUUUGGUGUCCUUGCCUUUUCACUACUCUUUUAUUUUCAUGUUGUGCUCUCUAUUAUGCUGUUGCGGUCUCAAGCUACAGUGCUCCUCUCUGUUUCUGGCUCAAGGGAAACCACGGAAGACUGGCAUGAUGAGAUUGUAAGGGCCAUUCGGACAAUAGCGGGGUAGAUAAUGCCAGUGUGCCCCUUUAAAAUCACGUGUCCUUGAGGCUCCUUGUCUGGGCUAUGUGCCAGCACUCACAAUGAUAACAGUCCUGGGCUUGCCCAACCCAGCUGUUAUCUCACGGGAGAGUUAGCACCAAGACCCUGGUGGUCUGAGGGAACGUGGAGGGCCUUGUGUGUGAGGGUCUGGUCCUUGUAAUGCAGGUCAUACAGGGAUGACCCCCUUGGCAAGCAUGCAGCCCUUGUUCCUCUGCCUACUUAAGCAAGCCUCUCUCAGGGGGUGGCAGCAGAUGCACAUUUCCUGUCCAGCUGGCCACCACUGGACCUUCCCUGUAAGUGACUUCCUAAUAAACCUUUAUGUCUAGUUCA